rnacentral:rRNA from 1 species
GACGAACGCUGGCGGCAGGCCUAACACAUGCAAGUCGAACGAGUGGCGGACGGGUGAGUAAUGUCUGGGAAACUGCCCGAUGGAGGGGGAUAACUACUGGAAACGGUAGCUAAUACCGCAUACCAUCGGAUGUGCCCAGAUGGGAUUGGCUAGUAGGUGGGGUAACGGCUCACAUAGGCGACGAUCCCUAGCUGGUCCGAGAGGAUGACCGGCCAAACGGGAACGGAGACCCGGCCCAGCUUCCUAGGGGAGGAAGCAGUGGGGAAUAUUGCAAAAUGGGCGAAAGCCUGAUGCAGCAAUGCGGCGUGUAUGAAGAAGGCCUUCGGGUGGUAAAGUACUUUCAGCGAGGAGACGGUACUCGCAGAAGAAGCACCGGCUAACUCCGUGCCAGCAGCCGCGGUAAUUC